CGGACCCCAGAUGGGCAGGGAAGCAAGGGAGGGGCCCCGGAGCGAGGGCGAUGCAGGCUGCUGAGCAUUUGGGCAUUGUGAUGCCUCAGGACCCCGCAUUCAUUCACCACUUCAUUCAGCAGGAUCCUGCCAUGAAUUCUGAGCACAAGCCUCAGGUGACCAAACCCUUCCUCUGGGGACUGCCCCGCACCCGGUGGGGAGGACAGAGCUGCUCCUCCAACAGGUGCGCGUGCGUGGAGGCGGCAGGAAGGGCAGCAGCACACCUGAGGGCAAGAGAGCAGUGGAGCGGUGGGCGCGGCCCUGUUGGGAAGGUGCUCUGUGUCCCGUCUCUGCAGAAGCAUGAGGAGAGCUCAGCCCAACAGGGGAACAAGCCACUCGUGAGGAAGUCUCCUCAACAGGUCUUCCUCCACCGUCAGCCAUGGCCUGGCCUGCGUUUGCCACCCUUCCUGGAGAGUGACAAUGACAGGUGCCCCGAUUGGCCCCCGCUUGUCACUGUGCUGCCCUGCAUGUUACCGCGUCAUCAACACAAGGAUGUCGUCCGUUUGUCCCCUCUGUUGGGGUAAGGACCACACUGGGAAGCAGACACUGCAAGCCAUUUUAGGGGUCACCCUCUUAGCAACCUCCAGCCAAUGCAGGCGUUGGUUUCCCC
rnacentral:lncRNA from 1 species